CUCCAGACCUGCACUUUGGAGUCUGAGCUGACAUGUAAGAAGUCCAACUACCCUGAAACUGCCCUACCGGAGAGACCAGAUAGAGAGACACAUGGAGAGAGACGUUAGAGGAUCCCUCAGAUCUUGAAUCUUCCCAGCAUCGACAAGCAAGCCUGUGAGUGGGUGAGCUAUAUUAGAGGACGUUUAUACUUUGGGAAACGGAUCCAGGAGAAAGAAGACUGAUGUGUUGAAAGAAGGUACUUCUAUGUAUGUUCCAUGGAGUCAAGGACAUUGGUUACUGCUGGAUCCCCAACUCUUACAACAGUGUCUGGCACACAGAAGGAGUGAAACAGAUCGAACGUCACAUGACAACAGUGCCCUCUAGAGGAAUGCUUUUCAAAUUGCAAUGGUGCCCUCUAUCUGGUAUUGGCAGCACCAGUACCUUCCAUCACACUGGCUCUUCUUCCAACGUGACUUCGUCACUGCACCCAUCAACAGCCUUGGAGCCCUGAGCUACCUGUAAUGUAAUCAGUUCAACUGCCCUGAAGCUGCCACGCUGGGAGGAAGCCCACACUAGCCCAUGGGGAGACUACAUGAGAAAGAGUCCAGCCCUACCCUCUCCCCGUCCAGUCACUAACUGACUACAACCACUUAGAGACCUAAGUCAGAACAGCCCUGCCAAGCCCUUCUCAAACUCCUGUACCACAGAAAACAUGAGAGGUAAUAAAACCAUUGGUGCUGUUUUAAAACACUAACUUUUGGGGUAACUUGUUAUGCAGCAAUAGAUCAUGACCCAAUAGUGGGUCAUGAAUUCAAUUUGGUGUGUCAUGACCGGUAUGUCUAAAAACUAAG